AGGACGAACGCUGGCGGCGUGCUUAACACAUGCAAGUCGAGCGGAAAGGCCCCUCGGGGUACUCGAGCGGCGAACGGGUGAGUAACACGUGAGCAAUCUGCCCUUAGCUUCGGGAUAGCUCCGGGAAACCGGAAUUAAUACCGAAUAUGACUCCGGCCGACAUCGGCUGUGGUGGAAAGUUUUUCGGCUAAGGAUGAGCUCGCGGCCUAUCAGCUUGUUGGUGGGGUAACGGCCUACCAAGGCGACGACGGGUAGCCGGCCUGAGAGGGCGACCGGCCACACUGGGACUGAGACACGGCCCAGACUCCUACGGGAGGCAGCAGUGGGGAAUAUUGGACAAUGGGGGCAACCCUGAUCCAGCAAUGCCGCGUGAGUGAUGAAGGCCUUAGGGUUGUAAAGCUCUUUCGCCCGCGACGAUGAUGACGGUAGCGGGAGAAGAAGCCCCGGCUAACGUUCGUGCCAGCAGCCGC
rnacentral:rRNA from 1 species